AAUAUAUCUGUCCUUUUUUGAUUUGACCUCAGCCCCAAAUUAUCAGCAUAAAAGAAAGGAAUUGUAACAGGAAUAAAACAAAUCAAGAUACCACAGAAUAGAUCUGGAUUCUGAAGGGAAGAAGGAAAAUUGGAACUACAAAAAGUCUUCCUACAGGUCUUCAGUAGCCGUAGCUACUAUACCUACAGAAGCAGUUUCCAGACUGAGUGAUGUUACAUGAUAUGACCACAGGGCUGGGCUGGGAAACAGGACCAGUAAUCUGGGCAGGACUGCUACACCUGUGAUUUGGGUGACUAUCUCCUCUGCUACUGGUAUUUUGUCAGCAAUUGGUAUUGGUGACUAUGAGGGAGAUGUGUCCUUUCUCCACAGUAACUGUUCCCCUCAAUGACUAAGGAUCUCAGGAUAGAAGCAAGAUAAGCAGAGGGAAGAGGAAAGAGAGGAAGAGGUUGUGCUUUUCCCAAGGCUUUUAGAUUCAAGAUUUUGUAUUAUCUUCAUCACAAUAAAAAGAAAAAUAAUAAUGAGAUAAUGGUAUCCUGGUUCAGGCCCUCAUCAUCUCAUCCCUGGACUACUACAACAGCCUGACAGUUGUAACAUCUCCCUGCUUCAAGUCUUGCUCCACUCCAACCUAGCUUCCACUCAGCUGUCAAAGUAAUUUUCUAGCAUACAGACACAAGAAAUGAAAUGUCUAUUCGGGAACUGACCAGCAUAAGGAGGGGAAAAUGACAGAUACAACUCCAUGGAGAUCCCUUUUUCUUGUUAUUUUAAGAUCAUGAUGAUACAAGUAAGUAUACCAUUUACAAUGAUCUUGUACUCAUCACAUGAAAUGGCCACAUUUGCUGCCAAAGCAAGAUAGAGAACUGAUGCAAUUGUUCUGAGGAAUAAAGUAAGAGACACUGUUUGGCUAAAUAAUGCAGGCCAGAGGAAGGUUGGAGGAAGAUAGGUGGCCCAAUGGACAGAGUACCAGGCCUGAAGUCAGGAAGACCUGAGUUCAAAUCAGACCUGAGACACAUUAGCUAUGUGAGACUGGGUUAAUUACUUAACCCUAUUUGCUUCAUUUUCAUCUGUAAGAUGUUCAGGAGAAGCAAAUGAUAAACCAUGCCAGAAUCUUUACCAGAAAACCCCAGAUAGGUCACAAAAAGUUGGACAUGCCUGAAAAAUGACUAAACAAACAAAAAAAAGCUUAAGUAUAAUUUUACUGAAUUAUCUGAAUAACUGCCUCACUUCUCCACCUGGCUAGAAGGACAUGAGCUUUGUGUGACAAGAGUCCAAGAGGGCAUGCCAGACUUUUUUUGUGGUUCUUUAACUACUUUUUUUUUUUUUUUUUUUUUUUUACAAAUUCUGGUAUUGAGAGAGUACCAAGGUGAUCAUGUUGUACACUGUGACCAAGGUGUCAGCAAGGACUAAGUGUGAAGCUGUUUACCUAGCUAUUUGUACCCAGAUCUGUAAAAACAGUAGUCUCAAAAACCAGCUCACCUAAGAAACUGUAAUCUUUUGUUAGAUUUAUAGGGAAAGAGAUUCAACUUAAAAUUAUUUUUAAGUUUAAAAAUAGCUGCUGCUAUUCAAAGAACUAUGUUGUCCUUACAGUGAAGUGAACACCUUACAGUGUUUCAUGUCAGACUUAUGCAUGAUUUAAUAUCCCUUGUUUACAAAGACCUACUGAAUGUGCUCGCCAUAAAUAGCACUUUUCAUCAAUGGCCAAAUUAAAUCCAAGUUAUUUCUUGAACUUUAUUAUUGCUGUUUAACAAUCUAGUUCUGUAUUCCAAUGUUUGGAAACACUGUCUAUUUAAGGCUGUCAGGGAUAGGGAAGGAAACUGAGAAAAACUGAUUUGCUUUACAAAGAAAACAAUUUUUAUUUCC